UGCUACUAUACUUAAUAGUACUUCUUUGUUCGGAAUAUUUUGGUAACAAGUUUCAUUGUAAACUUCUUCCAAUGUACGCCUUUCACAAGAUUUACCAAAUUAAACGGGUCACAGACCCACAGGAGGAUUUUUAUACAUGGAACACGGUACAGUAAAAUGGUUUAACGCAGACAAAGGUUAUGGCUUCAUCACUCGCGACAAUGGCAGCGAUGUUUUCGUACAUUUUUCAGCUAUUCAGGGUGAAGGUUACAAGACCUUAGAAGAAGGCCAAGCAGUAACUUUUGAUGUUGAAGAAAGCGAUCGUGGACCACAAGCGGCUAAUGUUGUUAAAGAAUAAUAAUAUUUAGAUCAGCUAGCAACCCUGAUUUUUCAGGGUUGUUUUU
rnacentral:other from 1 species